rnacentral:rRNA from 1 species
ACUCCUACGGGAGGCAGCAGUGGGGAAUAUUGCACAAUGGGGGAAACCCUGAUGCAGCAACGCCGCGUGAGUGAAGAAGGCCCUUGGGUUGUAAAGCUCUUUAGCGAGGGAAGAAGCUUCGUACGGUGAAUAAUCGUGCGGGAUGACGGUACCUCGAGAAUAAGCACCGGCUAAUUUCGUGCCAGCAGCCGCGGUAAUACGAAAGGUGCAAGCGUUACUCGGAAUCACUGGGCGUAAAGCGCACGUAGGCGGACUUACAGGUCAAUUGUGAAAUACCUGGGCUCAACCCAGGAACUGCAGUUGAAACCGUUUGUCUUGAAUACUUGAGAGGGUGGGGGAAUACCUGGUGGAGAAGUGAAAUUCGUAGAGAUCAGGUGGAACACCGGAGGCGAAGGCGCCUGCCUGGCAAUGUAUUGACGCUGAGGUGCGAAAGUGCGGGGAGCAAACAGGAUUAGAUACCCUGGUAGUCCGCACCGUAAACGAUGGAUACUAGGCGUUCGGAGAGUUAACCCUCUGAGUGCCAAAGUUCACACAUUAAGUAUCCCGCCUGGGAAGUACGGUCGCAAGACUAAAACUCAAAGGAAUUGACGGGGGCCCGCACAAGCGGUGGAGUAUGUGGUUUAAUUCGAAGCAACGCGCAGAACCUUACCUGGCCUUGACAUCGCGAGAUCGCCACAGAGAUGUGGUUUUGCCUUCGGGCACUCGUAGACAGGUGCUGCAUGGCUGUCGUCAGCUCGUGUUGUGAAAUGUUCGGUUAAGUCCGGCAACGAGCGCAACCCCUGUUCUCAGUUACCAGCAUUAAGUUGGGGACUCUGGGAAGACCGCCGGUGUUAAACCGGAGGAAGGCGGGGAUGACGUCAAGUCCUCAUGGCCCUUACGGCCAGGGCUACACACGUACUACAAUGGUAGAAACAGACGGCUGCAAGACCGCAAGGUGGAGCUAAUCCGUAAAACACUAUCUCAAUCCGGAUUGAAGUCUGCAACUCGACUUCAUGAAGUUGGAAUCGCUAGUAA